UUGAUGCGCUUUCGCCUGCAGUGUGAACGUAGCCUAAGUACUGCGCUUUAGAAGGACAGGAAGAUGUAAUAGUGAGACUGGAGUAAGGGGACAGAAGUAAUAAGAAAGAUGAAUAACUACAAGCAGAGAGAUCAUUUUAUUUGUGAAAAGAGGAAGCAACAAGGUGGAGAUGAGUUAAAAGAGGAAGAGCAUUGGACAGAGGAUGGAGAGCAGGACAGAGAGAGACGAUAAAACAGAGAUGUGGAGCAGAGGGGAGGAGUUAAAGAGGAAAUAAAGGUGAACUGGAAACAGAGGACGGUGACAGAGCACAAAGAGGCAAAGAAAGAAAACAAGAAAACAAAAAAGGAAACAAGAGAAAAGAGCCAGCAGUGAUGAAUGCAGCUCGAAUUCAUGACAAACAGAAGCUGAAGUCAUUCUGGGAGCAGAGGAUUGUUCAGCACAGCGAGCAGACGAAUGAUGAGGAGAACCGUAUGAGGAACAGCGCUUUGGCACGACUGAGGGAGCAGUGGGUCAUCAGGUUGGAGCAGAGGAAUCAACACCUGCAGAGUUUCUUCGAGGAGAGAAUGAGGCGAGUGCAGAAAUCCCAGCAAAUCCUCGGAAAGACUGAUUCACCCUGAAACCAGAAGAUAAGCCAGAAGGUGGUUAAAGAAAGAACUCCUCCACCAUCAGGCUGAAGACCAACAGCUGCUGUCCAGAUAUUGUUUAUGGUGCUAAAGGUUAGACCUUUACACAUGUAUUGUCAUUUAUUUUUAUGAAACAGAGGAACUAAAACAAACAAAAAACAAAACGAUAUUCAGUAUAAA